UUCUCCUGGUUUAGCUCUGCAGCCAGAGCUUUUCUCUGAGAAAGAUGAUGAACCUUUACGGGAAAAGAAGGCUUCAGUGUCAAGAGUGAAUGAUUUUGUUUUAUGAGUGGUUUUUGUUCAUCUUUGUUCUGCCCUUGGCUAAAGGGCUGGCCUGCUGGUAAUCUGCAAUCCCAUGGCAUCUGCUUUCAAGGGCGCUUAUAAUAUAGCAAGGAGCCUCUAGAAAUCUGCAACAGUCAUCUCAUCAGAAAUAAUCCAAAUGGCAGCAGCUCAGAAGAGCCUAAUUAGGGACCUGUUUGCCUUCCCCAGCAGUAACUAACCAGCCCCUCAGAAGGAGCUGCACAGAAGCCUGCAGCUCCAGCAGAACGCUGGCAGGAGCAAGAGCCAGCAGGGCUGCCUUGGAAAGGUGUGGCAGGGGGGAUGAAGUGGUGCACUCAGAAAGCUUGACCUGCUCAAAAGGAAGGAAGGAAAUGACCUGAAGAAACAAGCAAUAGAAAAGAACUGCUGUCUGUGGCUGGAUGUAAGGCUUCUGGGCUAGAACCCCAGGGACUCAAGGGCCUGGAUUCCCUCCUGUUCAGCAGAGAAAAGGUGGUGGUGGAGGAGAGCUGACAGGCUUAGGGUGACCCAGGAUAAUUGGCUAGGCUCUGGACUUUGGGUUGGCGGUGUCUGCUCUGUGCUCUUCUCUGCUAAUAAAUCUUUGAGCUGAACUGGAAGACAAAGUGAAGACAGUAGAAAUAUAAUGAUACUGACCUGAUGGGAAGCUUCAGUGCCAGGACUGGAUGGAAUUGUAAGCAUAAGCAGUGCAACACGGUUCAAAUUCUAUUGCUGUGAUAGCAAUGAUAUAUGAAAAUGAGAACAUUCAUCUGAAAUUGUCACUCUCUGUUAUUUCAGAUUUCUGUACAUAUUUACUAUAAUAAAUAUGAGGACUGUGAGGACUGGAGCCCCUCUGAAGAACCACUGCACUGGUGCUCAGAAACAACGAUCUGUUUGGGUAUACAUCUAUCAUAUCAGUGAAGACAGAAAUUCUGGGUACUGCACUUGGGGCUUAUUUCACAUGGCCCCUGCACUGGCUCUUGAUGGGUAGUCCAACCAUAGCUGUUCUUUUUGAUAAGUUGAAACCAAAAAGAAAAAUUGCAGAGAACUGUAAAUUCCCCAGGUAAUAUGCAACGGCAGCCAAACAAAUGGUCAUUCCAGGAUAGCACCACGAGUACAAUCAUUUAACUCAGUACAAAUGAAGCAGGACUAUUAAGAGGGGGGAGAAGAGUGAAAGCAGUUGGUUAGUGACUGUUACAGGGUCUGCAUGCUGGGAGGAAAUCCAGUCUUAUUAAAGUAAUUCUGUUGAGGAAGAAACUGAGGCAACUGUUACAUUACAACGGAGGUCUUUAGGAACUGACUCUACUGCGGAGCUUGUUUCUCUCCAGGAAGCGCCAGUUCCCUGCAGGAAGCACUAACUUGUCUGCAGCCUCAUGGGUCCAAGUAAAUUAAUGACUUUAAAAAAUAAUAAUAAUACACUGGGGAGAAUAAUUUCAGCAGUUGUGGAUGGGCAGCUGCACACUCCCAUCUUGGUUGUACAAGCAUUUUCUUUCAGUUGCGUAUAAGUGGAAGCCACAGAUACUACCUGACCAUCCCAGGAUGGCUCAGGAAGAAAAUAGUACUAAAUAAAGGGGCAAACCAGGUAGCCAACAGUUCCUGUCACGUUAUUUUUGUACCAUUGGCCCCAGCUCUGCAGUGUAAAUGGGCCCCAACACCAGCUAUUGGUACAAAGUUAAGAGAUCUUAAGAGGAAUUAAGCAUUUGGUAAUUUUGCAUCUGCUUCCAUCUUUGGACCAAAAUGGCCUCUUUUAAGUUUUGGCCAAGUAACACAUUAUGGAUAUUGCUUUGAUGUGCCAAAAGAAAAAAAGAAAAAAAGAAAAAAAGAAAAAAAGGAAAAAAAAAAAAAGGAAGGAAAGAAAGAAAGAAAGGUUCUGUGACACUUUGGUUUUCAACAAGGCAGGGGGAGUCAACACACAUAAAUCACCACGAUUUAACAAAUUCCACCAUGCUCUGGAAUAACAUUUGCGACAGCUUUCUGGGGUCAGCAAAUCAUAUUGCAUGUGGUUCAGAAUGUAGCUGGAAGUAAUUGGUAUGCUACCAGGCAGGGGUCACUCUCCAACCACAACUGAGACACAUAGGAACAGGUUUCCUGAGCUUCCAAAAAGUCAAGUUCACAGAAGGGUCUUGCCAAGACACCUCAGUACCUAGCUGACACAUUACUGUUUUUCUUUUGACAGCUUAUCUGUCCUACAAGAAGUACUCAAACCCAGCCUGGAGUACUGGUUAAUUCUGAUUUAAAAAUAUAUAUAUAUUUACAAAAUUGUCCAUUUUGCUCAGAUUACACUGGUGCACCUUUAUUUAAAUUUAUACUGGCAAUUACUACUUAAAUGACAAUACCGAGUUUGGUAAGUUAAAAAUAUUUGUAUUACAAAAACUCCCAAGAGUAACC